GAUGAAGAACGCAGCAAAAUGCGAUAAGUAAUGUGAAUUGCAGAAUUCAGUGAAUCAUCGAAUCUUUGAACGCACAUUGCGCCCGCUGGUAUUCCGGCGGGCAUGCCUGUUCGAGCGUCAUUCCAACCCUCAAGCCCCCGGGUUUGGUGUUGGGGAUCGGCUCUGCCCUUCUGGGCGGUGCCGCCCCCGAAAUACAUUGGCGGUCUCGCUGCAGCCUCCAUUGCGUAGUAGCUAACACCUCGCAACUGGAACGCGGCGCGGCCAUGCCGUAAAACCCCAACUUCUGAAUGUUGACCUCGGAUCAGGUAGGAAUACCCGCUGAACUUAAGCAUAUCAAUAAGCGGAGGA
rnacentral:misc_RNA from 1 species